GGACCGGUAGUUCAGUUUGGUUAGAAUGCCUGCCUGUCACGCAGGAGGUCGCGGGUUCGAGUCCCGUCCGGUCCG
rnacentral:tRNA from 1 species